CCUACGGGAGGCAGCAGUGGGGAAUCUUGCGCAAUGGGCGAAAGCCUGACGCAGCAACGCCGCGUGCGGGAUGAAGGCCUUCGUGGUUGUAAACCGCUUUCAGCAGGGACGAAAAUGACGGUACCUGCAGAAGAAGCCCCGGCUAACUACGUGCCAGCAGCCGCGGUAAUACGUAGGGGGCAAGCGUUGUCCGGAAUCAUUGGGCGUAAAGAGCUCGUAGGCGGUUCAGUAAGUCAGGUGUGAAAGCUCCGAGCUCAACUCGGAGAGGCCACCUGAUACUGCUGUGACUAGAAUCCAGUAGGGGAGUGUGGAACUCCUGGUGUAGCGGUGAAAUGCGCAGAUAUCAGGAAGAACACCAGCGGCGAAGGCGGCACUCUGGGCUGGAAUUGACGCUGAGGAGCGAAAGUGUGGGUAGCAAACAGGAUUAGAUACCCUGGUAGUCCACACCGUAAACGUUGGGCACUAGGUGUGGGGAGGAUCAACCCUUUCCGUGCCGUAGCUAACGCAUUAAGUGCCCCGCCUGGGGAGUACGGCCGCAAGGCUAAAACUUAAAGGAAUUGACGG
rnacentral:rRNA from 1 species